rnacentral:rRNA from 1 species
AGAUGUGAAAUCCCCGGGCUUAACCUGGGAAUGGCAUCUAAGACUGGUCAGCUAGAGUCUUGUAGAGGGGGGUAGAAUUCCAUGUGUAGCGGUGAAAUGCGUAGAGAUGUGGAGGAAUACCGGUGGCGAAGGCGGCCCCCUGGACAAAGACUGACGCUCAGGUGCGAAAGCGUGGGGAGCAAACAGGAUUAGAUACCCUGGUAGUCCACGCUGUAAACGAUGUCGAUUUGAAGGUUGUUCCCUUGAGGAGUGGCUUUCGGAGCUAACGCGUUAAAUCGACCGCCUGGGGAGUACGGCCGCAAGGUUAAAACUCAAAUGAAUUGACGGGGGCCCGCACAAGCGGUGGAGCAUGUGGUUUAAUUCGAUGCAACGCGAAGAACCUUAC